AGUUUUUAACCAGCCACUGCAGGAUAGGAAGUAAUCCUGGAGGGGGUGCAAUCGCCAUUGACCACGACCGGCCACAGUGUGCUGUAUAGGAGUUAACUGAGACUGAUUAUGUAAAGUGCCUUACAUAGUGCCUGUUUACAUAGGGGGCAUCUCGUAAAUGUUAUCUCUUGUUAUCAUUUUGCCAAAGAAGACCUGUCAUGGUAGUUCUGAUGGUGAUUGCUACACACAGUUUCCUGAGUGCUAUGGUGGGUGUGCAUAUCUGGAACCCUGAUGAAUACUCACCAGGCCUGCCACCCUUCUCCUCUCACUAAUGGGGAUUCAGACUCUGGAACCGACGAUAUAAAGGUUUAUUUCUCUCUCCAUCUACCUCCUGCUGGAAGAUUCCCCCUUGUUGCUGGCCCAGUAAACUCCUACAAUUAUCACCCAGGUCUCAGCUCUGCUCACAAG
rnacentral:lncRNA from 1 species